rnacentral:tRNA from 1 species
UGGGGCGUGGCUAAGUGGUAAGGCAACGGGCUUUGGUCCCGCUAUUCGUAGGUUCGAAUCCUUCCGUCCCAG